UGUGUGUGUGUGUUUGUGUCUGACUGUGUGUGUGUAUGUGACUGUGUGUGUCUGUGUGUGUUUGUGUGUCUGUUUGUGUCUGACUGUGUGUGUCUGACUGUGUGUGUGUGUUUGUGUCUGACUGUGUAUGUGUGUGUGUGUGUGUGUGUGUGUGUUUGUGUCUGACUGUGUCUGUGUAUGUGUCUGACUGUGUGUGUGUGUGUG